UACAGAGGGGGCAAGCGUUGUUCGGAAUUACUGGGCGUAAAGGGCGCGUAGGCGGCCUGUUAAGUCGAACGUGAAAUCCCCGGGCUCAACCCGGGAACUGCGUCCGAUACUGGCAGGCUUGAAUCCGGGAGAGGGAUGCGGAAUUCCAGGUGUAGCGGUGAAAUGCGUAGAUAUCUGGAGGAACACCGGUGGCGAAGGCGCGAUCCUGGACCGGCAUUGA
rnacentral:rRNA from 1 species